UGGAGCAUACUUCAUAGGAUCAUUUCUAUAGUAUGAUUAGCGAGUUCACUCACCUUAUAUUAGCGAGUUCACUGAAGAUUAGGAUCAGUCGCCUAAUCCUGGUGGUGACUAAU
rnacentral:snoRNA from 1 species